rnacentral:rRNA from 1 species
CUGGCUACAGGACUGAACGCUGGCGGCAGGCUAAUACAUGCAAGUCGAACGGUAACGACCGGUAGCAAGUACUGGGGCGACGAGUCGGCGCACGGGUGCGUAACGCGUAUGCAACCUACCCUCAACCGGGGCAUAACGCCGAGAAAUUGGCGCUAAUAUCCCAUGUGUACAGGAAGUGGCAUCACUACCUGUAUAAAGAUCCGUUGGUUAAGGAUGGGCAUGCGUAACAUUAGUUAGUUGGCGGGUAACGGCCCACCAAGGCGACGAUGUUUAGGGGUUCCUGAGAGGAUUCACCCCCACACUGGAACUGAGACACGGUCCAGACUCCUACGGGAGGCAGCAGUAGGGAAUAUUGGGCAAUGGAGGCAACUCUGACCCAGCCAUGCCCGCGUGAAGGAAGACGGCCCUAUGGGUUGUAAACUUCUUUUGCCGCAGAGUAACCGCGGGGACGUGUCCCUGCCUGAGAGUAUGCGGCGAAUAAGUAUCGGCUAACUCCGUGCCAGCCGCCGC